rnacentral:rRNA from 1 species
UAGGGAAUCUUCCGCAAUGGACGAAAGUCUGACGGAGCAACGCCGCGUGAGUGAUGAAGGCUUUCGGGUCGUAAAACUCUGUUGUUAGGGAAGAACAUCCGGGAUUACCUCCCGGUCUGACGGUACCUAACGAGGAAGCCCCGGCUAACUACGUGCCAGCAGCCGCGGUAAUACGUAGGGGGCAAGCGUUGUCCGGAAUUAUUGGGCGUAAAGCGCGCGCAGGCGGCUUCUUAAGUCUGGUGUGAAAGCCCGCAGCUCAACUGCGGAGGGCCACUGGAAACUGGGAAGCUUGAGUGUAGGAGAGGAGAGCGGAAUUCCACGUGUAGCGGUGAAAUGCGUAGAUAUGUGGAGGAACACCCGUGGCGAAAGCGGCUCUCUGGCCUAUAACUGACGCUGAGGCGCGAAAGCGUGGGGAGCAAACA